UCGAGAAUCAUUCACAAUGGGGGAAACCCUGAUGGUGCGACGCCGCGCGGGGGAAUGAAGGUCUUCGGAUUGUAAACCCUUGUCAUGUGGGAGCAAAUUAAAAAGAUAGUACCACAAGAGGAAGAGACGGCUAACUCUGUGCCAGCAGCCGCGGUAAUACAGAGGUCUCAAGCGUUGUUCGGAAUCACUGGGCGUAAAGCGUGCGUAGGCGGUUUCGUAAGUCGUGUGUGAAAGGCGGGUGCUCAACCCCCGGACUGCACAUGAUACUGCGAGACUAGAAUUAUGGGGGGGGAACAGGAAUUCUCGGUGUAGCAGUGAACUGCGUAGAUAUCGAGAAGAACACUCGUGGCGAAGGCGGGUUCCUGGACAUUAACUGACGCUGAGGCACGAAGGCCAGGGGAGCGAAAGGG
rnacentral:rRNA from 1 species